GAUGAACGCUGGCGGCGUGCCUAAUACAUGCAAGUCGAGCGAACAGACGAGGAGCUUGCUCCUUUGACGUUAGCGGCGGACGGGUGAGUAACACGUAGGUAACCUACCUAUAAGACUGGGAUAACUUCGGGAAACCGGAGCUAAUACCGGAUAAUAUUUCGAACCGCAUGGUUCGAUAGUGAAAGAUGGCUUUGCUAUCACUUAUAGAUGGACCUGCGCCGUAUUAGCUAGUUGGUAAGGUAACGGCUUACCAAGGCAACGAUUCGUAGCCGACCUGAGAGGGUGAUCGGCCACACUGGAGCUGAGACACGGUCCAGACUCCUACGGGAGGCAGCAGUAGGGAAUCUUCCGCAAUGGGCGAAAGCCUGACGGAGCAACGCCGCGUGAGUGAUGAAGGUCUUCGGAUCGUAAAACCCUGUUAUUAGGGAAGAACAAACGUGUAAGUAACUGUGCACGUCUUGACGGUACCUAAUCAGAAAGCCACGGCUAACUACGUG
rnacentral:rRNA from 1 species